rnacentral:rRNA from 1 species
GACGAACGCUGGCGGCGUGCCUAAUACAUGCAAGUCGAGCGAACAGACGAGGAGCUUGCUCCUCUGACGUUAGCGGCGUACGGGUGAGUAACACGUGGAUAACCUACCUAUAAGACUGGGAUAACUUCGGGAAACCGGAGCUAAUACCGGAUAAUAUAUUGAACCGCAUGGUUCAAUAGUUAAAUACGGUUUUGCUGUCACUUAUAGAUGGAUCCGCGCCGCAUUAGCUAGUUGGUAAGGUAACGGCUUACCAAGGCAACGAUGCGUAGCCGACCUGAGAGGGUGAUCGGCCACACGGGAACUGAGACACGGUACAGACUCCUACGGGAGGCAGCAGUAGGGAAUCUUACGCAAUGGGCGAAAGCCUGACGGAGCAACGCCGCGUGAGUGAUGAAGGUCUGCGGAUCGUAAAACUCUGUUAUUAGGGAAGAACAAAUGUGUAAGUAACUAUGCACGUCGUGACGGUACCUAAUCAGAAAGCCACGGCUAACUACGUG